rnacentral:rRNA from 1 species
CACGUAGGCGGACUGGUCAGUUGGGGGUGAAAUCCCAGGGCUCAACCCUGGAACUGCCUCCAAUACUGCCAGUCUUGAGUCCGAGAGAGGUGAGUGGAAUUCCUAGUGUAGAGGUGAAAUUCGUAGAUAUUAGGAAGAACACCAGUGGCGAAGGCGGCUCACUGGCUCGGUACUGACGCUGAGGUGCGAAAGCGUGGGGAGCAAACA